GGGCCCGUAGCUCAGUUGGCUAGAGCGUCCGCAUGGCAUGCGGAAGGUCAGGGGUUCAACUCCCCUCGGGUCCACCA
rnacentral:tRNA from 1 species